GAUGAACGCUGGCGGCGUGCCUAAUACAUGCAAGUCGAGCGAACGGACGAGAAGCUUGCUUCUCUGAUGUUAGCGGCGGACGGGUGAGUAACACGUGGAUAACCUACCUAUAAGACUGGGAUAACUUCGGGAAACCGUAGCUAAUACCGGAUAAUAUUUUGAACCGCAUGGUUCAAAAGUGAAAGACGGUCUUGCUGUCACUUAUAGAUGGAUCCGCGCUGCAUUAGCUAGUUGGUAAGGUAACGGCUUACCAAGGCAACGAUGCAUAGCCGACCUGAGAGGAUGAUCGGCCACACUGGAACUGAGACACGGUCCAGACUCCUACGGGAGGCAGCAGUAGGGAAUCUUCCGCAAUGGGCGAAAGCCUGACGGAGCAACGCCGCGUGAGUGAUGAAGGUCUUCGGAUCGUAAAACUCUGUUAUUAGGGAAGAACAUAUGUGUAAGUAACUGUGCACAUCUUGACGGUUCCUAAUCAGAAAGCCACGGCUAACUACGUG
rnacentral:rRNA from 1 species